CGCCGUGAGGCGGAGUCUGAAGGACGCCUCAGGCAAAGUACUGAGCCGAUGAACAAGAAGUGGCUACAAGGUUAAACAUAUCUGGAUAAGAGUACCCAACAAGCUGAAGUCCAAUACUACUCGAAGAUAUGUUUAGUAAAGCCAACGGUUACGUGGUACGAAAGCUA
rnacentral:ncRNA from 1 species